CUCUGGCCUUUCUAUGUAUCUUAUAAACGCUUUAGUAUCAGAAUGUACUUGCGAUAAAACGCAUCUUAUACAACUUUCAGCAACGGAUCUCUUGGCUCUCGCAUCGAUGAAGAACGCAGCGAAAUGCGAUAAGUAAUGUGAAUUGCAGAAUUCAGUGAAUCAUCGAAUCUUUGAACGCMCCUUGCGCUCCUUGGUAUUCCGAGGAGCACGCCUGUUUGAGUGUCAUGGAAUUCUCAACCCACACAUCCUUGUGAUGUUGUGGGCUUGGAUUUGGAGGUCUGCCGGCCUGUGUCGGCUCCUCUUGAAUGCAUUAGCUUGAUUCCGUGCGGAUCGGCUCUCGGUGUGAUAAUUGUCUACGCCGUGGUCGUGAAGCGUUUGGCGAGCUUCCAACCGUCCUGUAUGGGACAACUUUCUGACAUCUGACCUCAAAUCAGGCGGGACUACCC
rnacentral:rRNA from 1 species